AUAGAUUACCUAUUCCGUCAGACUGGAAAGGCCUUGCAGGAUGUACAUCCUGACUCAGAGGAGACUGAUCAGAUGCUGGAGGAUGCACCGAGGAGGAGCUGGAAGAUGAGGGCUUUGAAGAUACUGGUUUAGACCCAACCGUUGAAGUACUGGACCUGUCCUCUGAACCUUCAUCUGUCACCACCAGCUCAGCCCACAGGCCAACUCCCAUCUCUCUUCAGGCCUCUGCUGGUCCUGCAUCUGCUAUUGCUCCAGCAUCACCUGAGCAACAACUGAUGUGCAUGAUAGUCACUCUGGCCCAUCGGCCCUCCCUACCGGCUCUGCACCUGUCCUCCCAACUACCACCGGCCUUCCAGCUACCACGCCCGCUGCAACUGCUUGUCCCUUUUCUUCACCACCCAUCACGCUUGCCCCACCUCAACAACAGCUGGCUUUCAAUUUGCUGACCAAGAAGUCCUCAACCACCAGCUCAGCCUCUGUCUCUCCUCUCCCCACCACCCUCACAACCACUUUCUCUGCUGCUACAGCUACUGCUGGGUCACAAACCAUCACCGCAGCCGCACCUGAGCAACAGCCUAUUUUGUAUGAGCGCGACACCACAUCCUCUGGCCCAAGAGCUGUCAUCCCCAGCACAGUCUCUGCCCCUCCCUACAUCACCAUCCUGCCAGCUACUCUCACCACUCAAACUGCUGGUCCCUCUGGGGAACCUGCCAUGACCCCAGCAGAACCUGAGCAACAGCUGGCUGUUGAUGAGUGCAGUAUCCCAGGGAUGGACUGAGUGGACAGCCUGGCAGAGUACUUGGUGGGGCUGAGGAGUGAAACUGGCCAAAGACUCAGCAACCAACAGGCCAGUACAAUUAAAGCCCUGUGGCAGAACCCUCUGCAAUAUGACCAGCAGCGAGCGGUGUAUGCUGCGCGGCACCAGGUCCGCCUUACCACAGGACGCUUCAGGUGUGCCAAAAAGAGACCUGAAUUUACACCAGGUGUGGAAAGCAUAACACGUUGUUCCUUGGCAUCUUCAGGAUCCCCAGCCCAGUGGCCAGGCUGUAGUCGACUGGUAGAGUCCAUCCGUGUCGAGCUGUGUAACAUUCACAAGAGCCCCAAAAAACAGGGCAUUUACGCACUGACAAGAUGGACUCUGAUCGUCACGGACUACAGGAAAAUCCGGCAGCUGGUCCUGGGUAAUGCAGAGAGCACUACUCUGCAGUUGUUUGAGAUCAGUCAAACAACACUGGUUCAAUGGAACAACAAGAGACUGAAGAGGCAGGGCAGUAGUAUUCUGCUUCAAGGGGUCAAACAGUUGCUUCUGCGCCUCUCCCACCUGUACAGUUGCGCCCCGCAGCUGCAUCCCCACGCCCUGGCCCCCAGCAUCAGUACCACUUGCCCCACAGUACAGUAGGACAAGCAGUGGUCAAGAGGAAGUCUGCAGAGGCAGUUGUUCCCUCAGCCGGCACCUCCACCUACAUCUGCCACAUUUCCUGUUGUCACCAACCCCAGCCCUGUCAUCGCUCCAUUUAUAUUUCUAACCCCACAAGUACCUGGAGCCCAACAGAUCGCUCAUUCUGGCCUGCUUCCCUCCCCACCACCUGCCCGCAGGGCUUACACCCGGACAGUUGAAAAAAAUAAAUGUAGUCAGUGCCACCAGCCCCCCCAAUAAGGAAACUGGUCACAGUCAGUAUUAUGGACACAUAUACUGUCCCCAAAAAGCCAACAUGCCAGUUGAUCAGUGGAUGAAGGAGAUGCGGAAAAAAAAUUGAAAAAAAUUGAUUUGUGACAUUCUGUCUCUGUGUACAUAAUGUAAGUAGUUUUAAAAGAAAAAAAAAAGUCUUGUUAUAUUUUAGUCUUAUUCUAAUAGUUUCCUAGCCUUAUUUAUCUUCUAUUUUUAGUUCAUAUUUUAUUCAUUUUAUUACACUUCAAUUAUUUCUUAGUAUGUGUGCUAUAAUUAUAGGUGUGUGUGUAUGAGAGGGAGAAUUAAGGUGUGAAAUUUGUAAUUUGCUAUAUUUCUACAGAAGUAUCUUUCACUUAUUCAAACACGAGCAUAUAAUGAAUUACAUUGUUGCAGUACUUUCAAUACUUAUUGUAUUCAUUGGUCAGAAAUGUAAAAAUAUCAAAUAUAUUCUAGCCAAAAGUAAAUGCAAAUGUAUUUGUCUAGGUGUGGUGAUUUUUACAAAUAUUUCUUACAUUGCUAUAUAAAGUUUAUUAUUAUUUCAUUAUUAAUAAUAAAAUUUUGACAUUAUGUAAACACUAAACAACACAAUGAACUGCUAUUUGGCUGUAUGGUAUUCACAAGAAGUCCCCAUUCAAUUUGUAUCGCUUAAGUGAUAUUUGAUAGAUUUACAAUGCUUGGUAAUUUUGGGUAGCAACAUGUUCCAGUCAGGAACCGAACCGGGGACCUUUGGAUCUGCAGCUUCCUAUGCAAUACUCAAGUUAAGUGUCAUGUUUGGUCAUAUUUCUCAAACUAAUGGAGCGUAAACUGUGUCCAAUAAUUUGUAAUGGGCAGCAGAGACACUAAUGAUCAGUUCACUUAAUUUCUCUCAAUUUCUGUUCAUUUUUCUCCUUCCCCCUUCUCUCCCCCUCUCUCCCCCCCCCUUGCCAUAAUCAAGGUAGCUUAAAGUGUAAAACGUCACCAAACAUCGUAGUAUAGUGAGGCAUACACAUUUCAAGUCAUAGUAUAGUAAGGCAUGAAUAUGUCAAAAACCGACACAGGAUAUUGUGACAAAAAAUGGCAUAUUGCACAAAAAAACAACAUAUUAUGGCAUAAAAGGUCAUAAAGACGUCAUAGUAUGGUCAGGCAUCAAAAAAUAUAGUAUAGUAAGGCAUAAAAAUUCCCAAAAAAGUCAAUGUACUACGGCAGAAAAAUGCCAAAAAAUGAACAUCAUAACCUGGCAGGCAAUGAGACAAAAUAACAUAAUUAGGCAAAAAAAUGCCAAAAAGGUCAUAGUAUAUUAAGACAUAAAAUGCCAAAAAAUGUCAAAGUAUAGUAUGGUGUAAAAAUGCCAAAAAACGUCAUAGUAUAUUAUGGCAUAAAACGUCAAAAAAACAUCAUUCAAGAUGGCCUCUCUAUCUCAGCUCUCCUGAAACGCUGGUGCCUUUCAGGAACCCAACUUGAUUUUGCUUGGUUGUAUAUUGUCUUUUGUUAAGGCUUCAGUUCUUGUACGUGUAUUUUAAGUUGGCUUUCAUUAUCCUAGCACCCAACACCUACAUUACACUACUGACUUCA